GACCGAGGGGGCAAGCGUUGCUCGGAAUUACUGGGCGUAAAGGGCGCGUAGGCGGGAUGGCCAGUCGGUCGUGAAAUCCCUCGGCUCAACUGAGGAUCGUCGAUCGAUACUGCCGUUCUUGAGGAUUGCAGAGGAGACUGGAAUUCCCGGUGUAGCGGUGAAAUGUGUAGAGAUCGGGAGGAACACCGGUGGCGAAGGCGGGUCUCUGGGCAAUUCCUGACGCUGAGGCGCGAAAGCGUGGGGAGCAAACAGG
rnacentral:rRNA from 1 species